AUGAACGCUAGCUACAGGCUUAACACAUGCAAGUCGAGGGGCAGCAUGGUCUUAGCUUGCUAAGGCCGAUGGCGACCGGCGCACGGGUGAGUAACACGUAUCCAACCUGCCGUCUACUCUUGGACAGCCUUCUGAAAGGAAGAUUAAUACAAGAUGGCAUCAUGAGUCCACAUGUUCACAUGAUUAAAGGUAUUCCGGUAGACGAUGGGGAUGCGUUCCAUUAGAUAGUAGGCGGGGUAACGGCCCACCUAGUCUUCGAUGGAUAGGGGUUCUGAGAGGAAGGUCCCCCACAUUGGAACUGAGACACGGUCCAAACUCCUACGGGAGGCAGCAGUGAGGAAUAUUGGUCAAUGGGCGAGAGCCUGAACCAGCCAAGUAGCGUGAAGGAUGACUGCCCUAUGGGUUGUAAACUUCUUUUAUAAAGGAAUAAAGUCGGGUAUGCAUACCCGUUUGCAUGUACUUUAUGAAUAAGGAUCGGCUAACUCCGUGCCAGCAGCCGCGGUAAUACGGAGGAUCCGAGCGUUAUCCGGAUUUAUUGGGUUUAAAGGGAGCGUAGAUGGAUGUUUAAGUCAGUUGUGAAAGUUUGCGGCUCAACCGUAAAAUUGCAGUUGAUACUGGAUAUCUUGAGUGCAGUGGAGGCAGGCGGAAUUCGUGGUGUAGCGGUGAAAUGCUUAGAUAUCACGAAGAACUCCGAUUGCGAAGGCAGAGUGCUAAACUGCAACUGACAUUGAGGCGCGAAAGUGUGGGUAUCAAACAGGAGUAGAUCCCCUGGUAGUCCACACGGUAAACGAUGAAUACUCGCUGUUUGCGAUAUACAGCAAGCGGCCAAGCGAAAGCGUUAAGUAUUCCACCUGGGGAGUACGCCGGCAACGGUGAAACUCAAAGGAAUUGACGGGGGCCCGCACAAGCGGAGGAACAUGUGGUUUAAUUCGAUGAUACGCGAGGAACCUUACCCGGGCUUAAAUUGCAGAUGAAUUACGGUGAAAGCCGUAAGCCGCAAGGCAUCUGUGAAGGUGCUGCAUGGUUGUCGUCAGCUCGUGCCGUGAGGUGUCGGCUUAAGUGCCAUAACGAGCGCAACCCUUGUUGUCAGUUACUAACAGGUUCCGCUGAGGACUCUGACAAGACUGCCAUCGUAAGAUGUGAGGAAGGUGGGGAUGACGUCAAAUCAGCACGGCCCUUACGUCCGGGGCUACACACGUGUUACAAUGGGGGGGUACAGAGGGCCGCUACCACGCGAGUGGAUGCCAAUCCCAAAAACCUCUCUCAGUUCGGACUGGAGUCUGCAACCCGACUCCACGAAGCUGGAUUCGCUAGUAAUCGCGCAUCAGCCACGGCGCGGUGAAUACGUUCCCGGGCCUUGUACACACCGCCCGUCACACCAUGAGAGUUGGGAAUACCCGAAGCCUGUGAGCCAACUGUAAAGAGGCAGCAGUCGAAGGUAGAAUCAAUGAUUGGGGUG
rnacentral:rRNA from 1 species